rnacentral:tRNA from 1 species
AAAGCCGGAAUAGCUCAGUUGGG